ensembl:snRNA U4 U4 spliceosomal RNA
AGCUUUGUGCAGUGGCAGUAUCAUAGCCGAUGAGAUUUAUCUGAGGUGUGAUUAUUGCUAAUUGAAAAUUGCUAGUAUUUUGCUGCAGUGUUUCAUUUAUCUCCAUCUUUAUUAGAAACGUUGGCUUAUAAUCAUCUUCCUUUGAGG